rnacentral:lncRNA from 1 species
GCACUUCCGGUAUUCGGGUCAUGAAAUGUGGGUCGUUAUUUGGUUAAAUGCAGACUUAUUUUGUUUAAUUAUUAGUGUUACAUAUUGACUGAUCUCGAUUAUUCUUCUCGAUGACCGAUUUUUCCCGUUUAUACUGCUUCCGCACAAUGCUUUUAAGUCCAAAGUUCUUAACGUACACUCGCUUUUAACCAGAAAUUCAGUUUAUCGGCAUUAAUUAGGAUGCAUCUCCCCUACGUUGCAGUAUUUUUCGUCCCCAUACUUUGUAGUAUCGUAAUGGUUACAUCUCAUAUGAGCGCUCUUGAAAUAAGAUUGAGAAAAGAGCUCGUAGAUUAUGCCGAGUCAGAUCUCUGCGUGUACAUGAGAUCUCCGGAUGACGGCCCCCCAUUGCCACAGUACAAUGAACAGGAGGCGAGGAGGAGAUGCGGGAAAGCUUACAGUGUGUUUCGUGAUUUGGUUGACCCGCGUGCUAACAGAGUGCACCAGGCUAAGUAUGAAAGCGCGUGCCCAGAUCAAAGCGAACCGUACCAAUGCGACGCAGCUAAUAAAGCGCGUAUUCGAUGCUCUUGGAAGUGUGACGGUCAGUUUAAACAACUCGUAGACAUCAUCACUGCUUCCGGUAUACAGUAAUGGAGAAUUUGCACACACAAAUUUUAUUGCUUCAUCUGAGAUUGUCUAAUGAGUUGAGUUCGCAGUAUUUUCAUAAUUUUUUCUGACAUGGGAAAUUGGAGAAACAUAUGUUUAAAAGUGAGAAAAUUUGCCGCCACGUGCCGUCAUCUAGCGGAUCUAGCGCAUAUAAACCCAUGUAUUUAGCAGAUUAGGUUAUUUUGUCAUUCCUCCCCCCCCCCCCCAAUAAUUGUCCAAUUUAGAAACCGAGGAUAUCAUUGUACUCAGUUUUCUUGGCAGUAUCAUUUUAGACAUGAUAUUCACAAAAUUUAAGACACCUGCAAAAUUUUCUAUUAGCUCAUCGGUUUACAACUAUGUUUAUAUUUAGGUGUUAUCUUCAUCAGUAAACCCGUUGCGAGCAGAGAUGGAAAAUUUGAUGACAUUUAUUCGCGUGAAAUUUCACGAAAUUUCAUUAAAUUUUUUGAAACUUUUGAGGAUGCAUUCAAGAGGCCAAAAUACCCCUAGAAACAGUGAUUCUCGAUUUUCACAUUUUUCACCUCAAGUCUAAAACAAUAACGUGUUACAAGUGUUUUCAUUUGGUUUAGCGGUUAGGUUGGGGUUAAAUUUCUCUCCAAACUCCUUUUUGUGCCCCCCUUAUUGGAUAGCACCUCAGUAGGGUAGCAUGAUACUGCCGCAUUCACAGGAGGACCAUCUGAAACGCUUUCCGGGCUUCCGAAGGUUUAACUAAUAAUUCCGAUAAAAAUUAACAAAUUUCAAAUUUUGUGAAAUUUCUUCGCGCCUUUUGAAAUUUCACUUUCCAUCUCUGGUUCCAAGUCAUUACAUUUUAUUAUAAGGAGUCGGGAUCUAGUUAAGGUGUUUUGUCAGUAUCUUAGUAUCAUUGCGAGGGCUUCCUCAAAGUUCUGCACUUUUGUAAAUAUUUCAAGAAGGCAUAACAACUUUCCUAAAACUAAAAAUGCAUUGAAAGUAGACGUAUUAAUCAGAGAUUACAUAGAAUCGUAAUAGGUAUGGAUGAGCUGGUGCAACUUAUAAGCACUAUCUAGUCACCGAAUUUCAUGACUCCUGUGCGGUGUCGGGUCACCGCAAGUCGAUAGUUUUCGAUAAACGAUAGUGUCCGGCCAUCCGAUUUAAUGAACACGCAUGAAUCAUCACGUAAUCUACAUCGCCAUUUUGGAUCGAAAAUCACGGAGAAAAAUAGAACCGCGCUAGGCACCAGAAUCUGUACCUUAAUACAUGCGGUGGUCGAUGAUUUUGCUUUAUCCCUCCAAUCCGCACUUGGGCACAGCCGGCGACUGUCCUCAGCACACCCCUCCUGUACUUUCGCACACACUUCCUCUACUAGGCGACAUAUUUUCUUGCACUCCACCCUCUACCACAUCCGGCGGACAUUACAGCAAAGUUGGUGCUCAGCGCGGCUCUGAGAAGGUGACCGAAUCUUGGCUCACAGAGUAGUCGACCAGAAAAUGACCCCAGCUCACUUCAUUAUAUUACGACUCUAUGAACUCUAUGGUAUCAUUGGGUGUUACAAAAAAUCCGAAAUGUCUCAAAUGUUAGCUCCAGUGCCGUUUCCCCAUGAUGCAGCUGAUAUUCUCAAUAACAAAUCCGAAAUUUCUUAAAAAAACUGAAAAUCUUGAGGCGCUUGAGGCAAGAGUUAAAGCUUACGGACGAUGUAGAAAUUCCGGAUUUGACAUUGAGUACACUAGUUGGGGAAAACGCACCGGAGCUAACAUUUGAGACAUGUUGGUUUUUUUGGAACAUUCUUCAAAAAAUCGUGUAUUUAUUUUUAACGUAGUCACUCCCUAACUUGAUACAGCGUUUCCAACGUUAGACGAGUUUUUUUCAUGCCAUCAUGCAGCCAAGUACUUUAAUCUAAUGGUCUGCACCAGUGGCGACUCUUUAAAGUUGGCAACACUGUUGUUCAUCCAUUUAAAUCCAUUAAAAAUAUCGAUAUUAGGCGAGGCAAGCUGCCUCAUCAAGAAUCUAUUGUUUUACAUGCAUUUAAAUAAAGGAAUGACAGUGUUGCCAACUUUCAAGAAUCACCACAUUCACCUUUAGUCUGCUCGUGGGCCAAGAUGGUGCAGUUUCUUAAACUCCAUUAUCUGAGGCUUCCUUCUGACAAUGAAGUAUAAUUUAAAGUUGGGAACGAAUUAAAAUCGUCGGAAGCAAGGUCCGGACUGUAAAGAGGGUGUGGUAAUGUCUCAAACUUCAUGUACACCUCUCGCAACCAAGGAAGUAGCAGAACAGAACACUAGAAUACCUCACUGCCGCCAUAAAAAAAUUGUGCAACAUUGCAUGGAGUGAUAGGGGAUGACUAAGUUGAAAAGCAAUUUAAUAUAUUUGAGGUGAUUGCACCUAAUUUUAUUCUGGUUUUUUAGCAAAAUCAUAAACCAUGUUUUAAAUAUUUUCGAGUGUACAUUCUAUUCAUUCAGCCCUCGUAUAUAUAAACGUGUGAAAUGUAUCAGUAUAUUAAUUAGACGUUUUGCAACAUUCUGAAU